AGCGAACGCUGGCGGCAGGCCUAACACAUGCAAGUCGAACGGAUCCUUCGGGAUUAGUGGCGGACGGGUGAGUAACACGUGGGAACGUGCCCUUUGGUUCGGAACAACUCAGGGAAACUUGAGCUAAUACCGGAUGUGCCCUUCGGGGGAAAGAUUUAUCGCCAUUGGAGCGGCCCGCGUCUGAUUAGCUAGCUGGUGAGGUAAAGGCUCACCAAGGCGAGGAUCAGUAGCUGGUUUGAGAAGAUGAUCAGCGACAUUGAGCCUGAGACACGGCCCAAACUCCUACGGGAGGCAGCAGUGGGGAAUCUUGCGCAAUGGGCGAAAGCCUGACGCAGCCAUGCCGCGUGAAUGAUGAAGGUCUUAGGAUUGUAAAAUUCUUUCACCGGGGACGAUAAUGACGGUACCCGGAGAAGAAGCCCCGGCUAACUUCGUGCCAGCAGCCGCCGUAACAC
rnacentral:rRNA from 1 species